GGCCUCGUGGUGUAGUGGUAGCAUACUUGCUUUGGGUGUAAACCGCAUAUGCAAGUGGUCCCAGGUUCAAGCCCUGGUGGGGCCC